rnacentral:rRNA from 1 species
AACGAACGCUGGCGGCAGGCUUAACACAUGCAAGUCGAGCGCCCCGCAAGGGGAGCGGCAGACGGGUGAGUAACGCGUGGGAAUCUACCCAUCCCUACGGAAUAACGCAUGGAAACGUGUGCUAAUACCGUAUACGUCCUUCGGGAGAAAGAUUUAUCGGUGAUGGAUGAGCCCGCGUUGGAUUAGCUAGUUGGUGGGGUAAAGGCCUACCAAGGCGACGAUCCAUAGCUGGUCUGAGAGGAUGAUCAGCCACACUGGGACUGAGACACGGCCCAGACUCCUACGGGAGGCAGCAGUGGGGAAUAUUGGACAAUGGGCGCAAGCCUGAUCCAGCCAUGCCGCGUGAGUGAUGAAGGCCCUAGGGUUGUAAAGCUCUUUCACCGGUGAAGAUAAUGACGGUAACCGGAGAAGAAGCCCCGGCUAACUUCGUGCCAGCAGCCGCAGUAAUAC